ACAGUUUAUAGUUUCUGAAGAUGGACUGCAUGCUUUGUUACCCAUGUUUGGGCUGUGCUGUCUGUCUAACACGCUCGCUCCUCUUUCCUAAGACUUUGUCGAAUACUGCCUGUUUAUUUAAACACAUGAUGGGCUCAGAGUCUGAAGGACAUUGUCCCGGCUAGGACAAACAUCUAAUAACCAAACAGCGGAAUCUAGGGUUAUUAGAUGUCGGAAAAUCUUUCAGCCAAUGAAAAAUCAGGUCAUUGACUGAUGCUGACUUCAGACACAAACAGUACAUACAUUUAUGCUGACACAGACUCAGCGUCUGGUUACACAAUGCAUUCUUUAUCUAGCCAUCCCAAAAUAUAAAAUUCACCGCUACCUUUGAUACUACCACUACACCCUUUAAAUUAACUUAUUCCAUUACUUUCCAGAUUGCAGCUAACAUUAAAUCACCUUAAUUACAGUCAUGAUUGACUGUUCUUUUUGGCUAUGAAUUACUUUUCUGCAAUUCAAAACCUUCCCGUUGGUUGAUCAGUUUAUAAAAGUCAUGUUCAGACUGCAGAAAGAAGUCUUUGCUCUCUUCAAUCUCCUGAGCAGCAAUGAUCCGGGUCAGCAGAGCGUCUCCAAUGACCUUGGACUCACAGGGACUGUGUUGAACUCUGUGUGUGACGUUCCUGUGGGGCUCAACGACCAGGAGCCCUGGCAUGCUGUUGGCUCCUGGCUCUGGUGGUAUCUCCUGGAUAUUUUUGCGUAGGUGGGCUGUAUAGAGCUUGACCAGGCUUGUGAAUGCAGUCUUGUAGGAGAGACGCAGUGCUUCUGCUGAGCCUCGUGGAACGGAGCCCAAUCGGAUCUCAUGGAUCCUCAUGUGCAGGUGGAAAGAGGCCCCACACAGCCACUGUUUCAUGGCCACUGACCCCAUGCGUUUCUUGUUCGUCAUCCUCUCAAAAUGGUCAAUCAGCUCAUACUUCAGGCAAGCCACAUCCAGACUGUCAGGCGUCUGCUGGAGUGUGGAGCAAGUGCCUGCCGUCAGAGGUGGGUUAUCUCUCACCUUUCUUUUAUUCUUUCUCACUCUGAGUUAGCCCCACUAACAAAACAUAUUGGCUACUCCUAGCUGGCUCUAGUUGACUACACAGAGUUGAUGUUUCAAUAUGACUGUGGUUGCUGGAAUGGCUUAAUGGUGACAAAAGGCUAGGGCGGUUGGUUGGU
rnacentral:lncRNA from 13 species